GAGAGUAGGCGCAGGUGGUUGCGGAUUUCGCUCUUGCAAGCGAAUCUGAGGAAAGUCCGGGCUCCCGAAAGACCAGACUUGCUGGGUAACGCCCAGUGCGGGUGACCGUGAGGAUAGUGCCACAGAAAGAUACCGCCGCUUAAGAGUUAUGAGUGCUUCGGCUUGAGUUAAUUCAAAACUCAAAACCCAAAACUCAAAAUUCUUGCGGUAAGGGUGCAAAGGUGCGGUAAGAGCGCACCAGCAGCAUCGAGAGGUGCUGGCUCGGUAAACCCCGGUUGGGAGCAAGGUAAGACAGGAACUAUGGUUGGUCUUUUACCAGUUCCUACAAGAGAACCGCUUGAGGCGUCUGGUAACAGGCGUCCCAGAUAGAUAACCGCCCUCUACCGUGGCACUGCUGCUGUGGAGAACAGAACCCGGCUUAUGUCCGACUCUCUCCU
rnacentral:RNase_P_RNA from 1 species